GGGGAGCAAUCCCUGAGUAAAGUGGCGACCGGGUGAGUAACACGUGACUAACCUGCCUUCGAGUGGGGGAUAACCUCGGGAAACCGGGGCUAAUACCGCAUAAUGCCUUUGGGUUAAAGGAGCAAUUCGCUUGAAGAGGGGGUCGCGGCUGAUUAGCUAGUUGGCGGGGUAACGGCCCACCAAGGCGAUGAUCGGUAGCCGGCCUGAGAGGGCGCACGGCCACACUGGAACUGAAACACGGUCCAGACUCCUACGGGAGGCAGCAGUGGGGAAUUUUGCGCAAUGGGGGGAACCCUGACGCAGCAACGCCGCGUGGAGGAUGAAGUCCCUUGGGACGUAAACUCCUUUCGACCGGGACGAUAAUGACGGUACCGGUGGAAGAAGCCCCGGCUAACUUCGUGCCAGCAGCCGCGGUAAUACGAGGGGGGCGAGCGUUGUUCGGAAUUAUUGGGCGUAAAGGGCGCGUAGGCGGUGCGGUAAGUCACCUGUGAAACCUCUGGGCUUAACUCAGAGCCUGCAGGCGAAACUGCCGUGCUGGAGUGUGGGAGAG
rnacentral:rRNA from 1 species